GAAGAUGUAACGGGGCUAAACCAUGCACCGAAGCUGCGGCAGCGAACGUAUCACCCAAGACAACUUUACGGAGUUGACGAUUGACGGAGCGAAGCGACGUCAAAGCGUUCAUUAAAGUCGAGUUGGCUUAGGGAUACGUUCGUUGGGUAGGGGAGCGUUCUGUAAGCCUGUGAAGGUGUGUCGUGAGGCAUGCUGGAGGUAUCAGAAGUGCGAAUGCUGACAUAAGUAACGAUAAAGCGGGUGAAAAGCCCGCUCGCCGGAAGACCAAGGGUUCCUGUCCAACGUUAAUCGGGGCAGGGUGAGUCGACCCCUAAGGCGAGGCCGAAAGGCGUAGUCGAUGGGAAACGGGUUAAUAUUCCCGUACUUGGUGUUACUGCGAAGGGGGGACGGAGAAGGCUAUGUUGGCCGGGCGACGGUUGUCCCGGUUUAAGCGUGUAGGUGUGUGUUCCAGGUAAAUCCGGUUCACUUUAACACUGAGGCGUGACGACGAGGCACUACGGUGCUGAAGCAACAAAUGCCCUGCUUCCAGGAAAAGCCUCUAAGCAUCAGGUAACAUCAAAUCGUACCCCAAACCGACACAGGUGGUCAGGUAGAGAAUACCAAGGCGCUUGAGAGAACUCGGGUGAAGGAACUAGGCAAAAUGGUGCCGUAACUUCGGGAGAAGGCACGCUGACACGUAGGUGAAGUGAUUUACUCAUGGAGCUGAAGUCAGUCGAAGAUACCAGCUGGCUGCAACUGUUUAUUAAAAACACAGCACUGUGCAAACACGAAAGUGGACGUAUACGGUGUGACGCCUGCCCGGUGCCGGAAGGUUAAUUGAUGGGGUCAGCGCAAGCGAAGCUCCUGAUCGAAGCCCCGGUAAACGGCGGCCGUAACUAUAACGGUCCUAAGGUAGCGAAAUUCCUUGUCGGGUAAGUUCCGACCUGCACGAAUGGCGUAAUGAUGGCCAGGCUGUCUCCACCCGAGACUCAGUGAAAUUGAACUCGCUGUGAAGAUGCAGUGUACCCGCGGCAAGACGGAAAGACCCCGUGAACCUUUACUAUAGCUUGACACUGAACAUUGAGCCUUGAUGUGUAGGAUAGGUGGGAGGCUUUGAAGUGUGGACGCCAGUCUGCAUGGAGCCGACCUUGAAAUACCACCCUUUAAUGUUUGAUGUUCUAACGUGGACCCGUAAUCCGGGUUGCGGACAGUGUCUGGUGGGUAGUUUGACUGGGGCGGUCUCCUCCUAAAGAGUAACGGAGGAGCACGAAGGUUGGCUAAUCCUGGUCGGACAUCAGGAGGUUAGUGCAAUGGCAUAAGCCAGCUUGACUGCGAGCGUGACGGCGCGAGCAGGUGCGAAAGCAGGUCAUAGUGAUCCGGUGGUUCUGAAUGGAAGGGCCAUCGCUCAACGGAUAAAAGGUACUCCGGGGAUAACAGGCUGAUACCGCCCAAGAGUUCAUAUCGACGGCGGUGUUUGGCACCUCGAUGUCGGCUCAUCACAUCCUGGGGCUGAAGUAGGUCCCAAGGGUAUGGCUGUUCGCCAUUUAAAGUGGUACGCGAGCUGGGUUUAGAACGUCGUGAGACAGU
rnacentral:rRNA from 1 species